rnacentral:rRNA from 1 species
UACGUAGGGUGCGAGCGUUGUCCGGAAUUAUUGGGCGUAAAGGGCUCGUAGGCGGCCAACUAAGUCGGACGUGAAAUCCCUCGGCUCAACCGGGGAACUGCGUCCGAUACUGGAUGGCUUGAGUUCGGGAGAGGGAUGCGGAAUUCCAGGUGUAGCGGUGAAAUGCGUAGAUAUCUGGAGGAACACCGGUGGCGAAGGCGGCAUCCUGGACCGAUACUGACGCUGAGGAGCGAAAGCCAGGGGAGCAAACGGG